rnacentral:rRNA from 1 species
AGAGUUUGAUCCUGGCUCAGGACGAACGCUGGCGGCGUGCUUAACACAUGCAAGUCGAACGGAAAGGCCCUUCGGGGUACUCGAGUGGCGAACGGGUGAGUAACACGUGGGUGAUCUGCCCUGCACUUUGGGAUAAGCCUGGGAAACUGGGUCUAAUACCGAAUAGGACCACGCGCUUCAUGGUGCGUGGUGGAAAGCUUUUGCGGUGUGGGAUGGGCCCGCGGCCUAUCAGCUUGUUGGUGGGGUAAUGGCCUACCAAGGCGACGACGGGUAGCCGGCCUGAGAGGGUGACCGGCCACACUGGGACUGAGAUACGGCCCAGACUCCUACGGGAGGCAGCAGUGGGGAAUAUUGCACAAUGGGCGCAAGCCUGAUGCAGCGACGCCGCGUGAGGGAUGACGGCCUUCGGGUUGUAAACCUCUUUCAAUAGGGACGAAGCGCAAGUGACGGUACCUAUAGAAGAAGCACCGGCCAACUACGUGCCAGCAGCCGCGGUAAUACGUAGGGUGCGAGCGUUGUCCGGAAUUACUGGGCGUAAAGAGCUCGUAGGUGGUUUGUCGCGUUGUUCGUGAAAACCCACAGCUUAACUGUGGGCGUGCGGGCGAUACGGGCAGACUAGAGUACUGCAGGGGAGACUGGAAUUCCUGGUGUAGCGGUGGAAUGCGCAGAUAUCAGGAGGAACACCGGUGGCGAAGGCGGGUCUCUGGGCAGUAACUGACGCUGAGGAGCGAAAGCGUGGGGAGCGAACAGGAUUAGAUACCCUGGUAGUC